UGACCAAGUGUGAUUAGUUUGCUGAUGU
rnacentral:piRNA from 1 species